rnacentral:tRNA from 1 species
GGCGUAGCUCAGUUGGCAGAGCAGCUGAUUUGUAAUCAGCAGGUCGUCGGUUCGAAUCCGUCCGCC